GAGAAAGAAGAGUAAACGUAAGAGCUGUGUGUAGUAUGAAUUGGUGUUUGUUGUGGGGGCUGUGUUCUCACAUUACACCUUCGCUCUGUGUGAAACGGUAGAAACAGUAGAGAGAGAAAGUUGUGAAGAUUAGAGUAAUGAUGAGAAGAGAAGGCUACUGUUUGCAUGAACGGAUACAGCUAAGAUAAAUGAGUGACGAUAAUUG
rnacentral:lncRNA from 1 species